AAAAAGGGCUUCUGUCAUGAGUGGCACACAAAGUGCAACUUGAUUGCUCUGCAUGCGGAAUCAACAUCAAGAGACUUCGGAAGCAUAAUUUCUCGGUAACUGGGCAGCUAGUGAUCGUUGGUCCCCAUGUGUGU